UACGUAGGUGGCAAGCGUUAUCCGGAAUUAUUGGGCGUAAAGAGCGCGCAGGUGGUUGAUUAAGUCUGAUGUGAAAGCCCACGGCUUAACCGUGGAGGGUCAUUGGAAACUGGUCGACUUGAGUGCAGAAGAGGGAAGUGGAAUUCCAUGUGUAGCGGUGAAAUGCGUAGAGAUAUGGAGGAACACCAGUGGCGAAGGCGGCUUCCUGGUCUGUAACUGACACUGAGGCGCGAAAGCGUGGGGAGCAAACAGGAUUAGAUACU
rnacentral:rRNA from 1 species